rnacentral:rRNA from 1 species
UGUGAGGCAUUGAGCUAACUGAUACUAAUUGCCCGUGAGGCUUAACCAUACAACACCCAAGGGGUUU